rnacentral:rRNA from 1 species
GAUGAACGCUGGCGGCGUGCCUAAUACAUGCAAGUCGAGCGAAUGGAUUAAGAGCUUGCUCUUAUGAAGUUAGCGGCGGACGGGUGAGUAACACGUGGGUAACCUGCCCAUAAGACUGGGAUAACUCCGGGAAGCCGGGGCUAAUACCGGAUAACAUUUUGAACCGCAUGGUUCGAAAUUGAAAGGCGGCUUCGGCUGUCACUUAUGGAUGGACCCGCGUCGCAUUAGCUAGUUGGUGAGGUAACGGCUCACCAAGGCAACGAUGCGUAGCCGACCCGAGAGGGUGAUCGGCCACACUGGGACUGAGACACGGCCCAGACUCCUACGGGAGGCAGCAGUAGGGAAUCUUCCGCAAUGGACGAAAGUCUGACGGAGCAACGCCGCGUGAGUGGUGAAGGCUUUCGGGUCGUAAAACUCUGUUGUUAGGGAAGAACAAGUGCUAGUUGAAUAAGCUGGCACCUUGACGGUACCUAACCAGAAAGCCACGGCUAACUACGUGCCAGCCGCCGCGGUAA